rnacentral:rRNA from 1 species
CUGUCUUAUUUGUAAAAAUUGAAUUUAACUUUUAAGUGAAAAGGCUUAAAUAUAAGGAAGGGACGAUAAGACCCUAUAAAACUUUAUAUAAAUUAAAUUUUUUAUUAUAUUUGUUUUGUUUAAUAAUAUAUAGUUUGUUAAUAUUUUAUUGGGGCGAUAGGAAUAUAAAUAAAUAACUGUUCUUUAAAUAAAACAAUAUUAUUGGUUAUAGUGAUCCUUAAUAAAGAUUGAAAGGUAAAGUUACUUUAGGGAUAACAGCGUAAUUUUUUUUGAGAGUUCAUAUCGACAAAAAAGAUUGCGACCUCGAUGUUGAAUUAAAAUUUCUUUAUGGUGCAGGAGCUAUAGGAGAGAGUCUGUUCGACUUUUAAAUUUUUA